rnacentral:rRNA from 1 species
UGAACGCUGGCGGCGUGCUUAACACAUGCAAGUCGAACGAUGAAGCCUUAGCUUGCUAAGGUGGAUUAGUGGCGCACGGGUGAGUAAUAUAUAGAUAAUGUGCCUCUUAGUCUGGGAUAGCCAUUGGAAACGAUGAUUAAUACUAGAUACUCCUUCUCUCUCUAAUGAGAGUUGGGAAAGUUUUUUCGCUAAGAGAUCAGUCUAUAUCGCAUCAGUUAGUUGGUGGGGUAAUGGCCUACCAAGACAAUGACGCGUAGCGGGUUUGAGAGGAUGAUCCGCCACACUGGUACUGAGACACGGACCAGACUCCUACGGGAGGCAGCAGUGAGGAAUAUUGCACAAUGGGGGAAACCCUGAUGCAGCAACGCCGCGUGGAGGAUGACGCAUUUCGGUGUGUAAACUCCUUUUAUAUGUCAAGAAAAUGACGGUAGCAUAUGAAUAAGCACCGGCUAACUCC